GAUGAAGAACGUAGCGAAAUGCGAUAAGUAAUGUGAAUUGCAGAAUUCAGUGAUCAUCGAAUCUUUGAACGCACCUUGCGCCUUUUGGUAUUCCGAAAGGCACACCUGUUUGAGCGUCAUGAAUACCUCAAUCUCCAUCUUUUCUUCGGAUUGAUGGGUGACUUGGAUGUUGAGCCCUGCUGGUAUGCUAUAUCAGCUGGCUUUAAACUUAUUAGCCGGCUCUGUACUGGAUCGGUUUGACUCGACGUGAUAAUAUUAUCGUUGAGGAUGCAUGUCUCAUGCAGCCGGAAAGUAUCAAAGCAGCUUCUAGCUUGCCUUUAGUGCACUUUUACAUUUUAGACCUCAGAUCAGGUGGGACUACCCGCUGAACUUAAGCAUAUCAAUAAGCGGAGGA
rnacentral:misc_RNA from 1 species